rnacentral:rRNA from 1 species
UCAGGCCUAACACAUGCAAGUCGAGGGGUAGAAGGAGCUUGCUCCUUUGAGACCGGCGCACGUGUGCGUAACGCGUAUGCAAUCUACCUUUUACAGAGGGAUAGCCCAGAGAAAUUUGGAUUAAUACCUCAUAGUAUAUAUCAUUCGCAUGUUUGGUAUAUUAAAGUUCCAACGGUAAAAGAUGAGCAUGCGUCCCAUUAGUUAGUUGGUAAGGUAACGGCUUACCAAGACGAUGAUGGGUAGGGGUCCUGAGAGGGAGAUCCCCCACACUGGUACUGAGACACGGACCAGACUCCUACGGGAGGCAGCAGUGAGGAAUAUUGGUCAAUGGACGCAAGUCUGAACCAGCCAUGCCGCGUGCAGGAAGACGGUCCUAUGGAUUGUAAACUGCUUUUGUACGGGAAGAAGCACUCCUACGUGUAGGAGC